CCUCGGAACCACCAAUGGUCAGAGCGUGGUGCUAAUAACGCCAAGGUCGCAGGUUCGAUCCCUGUAGUGAGCA